rnacentral:lncRNA from 1 species
AGUUAUUGAUUUUUUUGCGAUUCGCUUUUUUUAUUAAUUGGUUACAAUUACAUUGUCAUUUGCUAAUAUUUUGUAUACAAAUAUGAAAGGAUUCGGUCAGCCGGCUCUUCUCUGGGAUUCUGUACGUCAACGGUUGUGAUCGCCUGAAGUUUUAGAUGGAGAUCAGCGUGGUUUUUACUUCCCCUAGAACUACAGUAAUCAAAAUAAAUGCCCUCUGACAUUUGCAGAGGGCAUUACGGCAGAGCGUCUCUCCCUCUCGAAAUGGGAACUCUCUCUCUCUCUCUCCAUCUGCCGCCACCUCUUGCUCUCUCUCUCUCUUACUCUCUGUAACUCCUCUCUCUCUCUCAAUCCCUCUAUAGCUCGCCCCUCUCUCUCAAUCCCUCUAUCGCUCGCCCCUCUCUCUCAAACCCUCGCUGCCCCUCUCUCUCUUCCUCGCUGCCCCUCUCUCUCAAUCUUCCUCGCUGCCACAUUCUCUCAAUCUCUCUAUCGCUCACCCCUAUCUGCCCUCGCUCUCAAUCUCUCUCUCGCCUACCCCUCUCCGCCCCUCUCUCUACAUCUCUCGCUUCCCCUCUCUCUCUCUCUCUCUCAAAAUACAACAAAAAACAGGUUUUUUUUUUUUGAAAUUUUAGUAAAUUUUUGUACUCCAUUGUUCCUGCAAAGAUGAUUGGGGCAAUCUCCAGUGGAGUUGACGUUCAUCUGAGGUUCAGGUAUGCUAUCUUUGAAUCUUUGGGCCAUUACUAUUUUAUUUUGAUUUUUAAAGUUGAUUUCUUUAUGUUUUUUUGGAUAUCUUUGAAUCUUUUCUAUAACAGUGCUUUAUUUUGAUUUUUACAGCUGAUAUCAAUUUUUUUUUUUGUGGAUUUCGAUUUUGUUUGUUCCAUUUCGAGUUUUGGGGGUUUUGGUUGUCCCAGUGCGUAAGCUUUGCUCUGAGGUUCGUUCUCAAUAUGAUAAAACUAGUUUCUUGUUUUAUUUGGGUCUGGUAUGUGGGGGCCUUGGUUGCAAUUUCUUCUCUUCCUUUAGUGGCAUCUGGUUUACCUUCCUUCCCCCACCCACUUCCUAGGAGUUAAGCGGUCUCCUAGUUAUAUCAGGCUUCUUUUCUUAACUUAUAAAUUUUUUAAAGAGAUACAGGUCCUACUUUUCUAUUUUGUAUUGUUGUGUCAUUCUCAUCAUGCUAUUUUCCUUGAAAAUCUCAAUGGAUAUCUGUGGGUAAGUUUAUUUUUCUCCCAGUUUCUCUUGUAAUGUACUGCACAGUUAUGCAAUCAUACUCAUGAUAAGCUAAUCCCACCCAAGAUCUGAAUUUUUAAAACCGUCAGGGCAUUUUUUUUCAGAACUGAAUAAAUUUCCAAAAUCCUGUAAUUAUUUUUUUCAGAAGACAUAAUUGUAGCAUUGAAUAUGUCAAGAUCGACAUUUCUGUUGUAUGAUUGUCUUUCUUGAUAUUGAUAAUAUAUUAGAUAUUGAUAAUAUAUUAAUCAAAUUUGAUUAUGUCAAUUUACUAAUAAAAUUUGAUCCUGGGAUUAUAUCACAUUUUUGUGAAGAACUAAAUGACAAGAAGUUCUCCUUAUGUUCUUUCAAUAUGAGAAUUAUCAUGUUUGGGAGAGAUCUAUGAGACUAUAUUAGUGGAGCAACCAAUGAACCUACUAAAACCGCAAAGUGUAAGUUUGUAAUAGCUUAAACUAAGAUGUUGGAGAGUUUUUUUAUAUUGAUAUCAGGUUUUAAAAUAUGUUAUGAUGGACCAUAUUGGACAGGGCUGGUGUUGAUCUAUUAUACUGAUAUCAGGUUUUAAAAUAUGUUAUGAUGGACCAUAUUGGACAGGGACUAGAGCUGAUCUAUACAAUGGUAAUGUUCAUUGUGACGGGUAUGAAUUGAAAAAUAAUAUAAAUACAUUUUAAAUUAAGGGUGAUGUUCGUAUAAGGUAUUCACCUUAUAAUAAAAACCUCAAUUGUCUUGUUUCUUCCCCUUUGGAUCAAUACCUCAGUUAUUUGAAAUGGUGCCUUAGUUGUUCAUCAUUUUGAAUACUCAUAGCUAUUUGGGUUUAUAAUGAAUGGGUCUGGGUUUUCCAACUUGAAAUUUCUUAGAGCAUGCAUUUUGAAUCUUGCGAAAUCCAUCUCUUUGGGAUAGUGAAGGUUCACCCAAAAAAGUUCACAUAUAGUUAUUCUAGGUGCUUGCCUAUAUUUUUUUCUUAGCUAGUUGGACUUCUAAGAAGCUAGGAUAGGAACUUAAACUUGAAUAAUCUAUAUCUACUAUGAACACAUGCACCAGUCAUCGCCUGCAUCCAAACAUCAUAGAUUGACAUUGAAGCAUCAUAAUUUUACAUUGUAAAGUGUUGAAAGCUAUAUGCAUGAAUUUAACCGUUUGUGUUUCAUAUGGUUAUGAUGUAGUUCUUCAUAGUUUUCUUGUCACUUCUAUUUAGAAUGAAUCUCAAGAACCAGUUCCCUCCAUUAUUUUUGUAAACGCAGACCAAUAUUUGAUCGAAUGCUCGUCUUUAUCACAAAAACACGAGAUAACUAUAGAAAGCCUUUCUACAAAUGCUCCAACUGGAAGGUAUUAGACAUUCAUUCAUCAAAAUAAUGUAGAAGCACAUUAUUGAUCAAUUGUAAGCACAAACCGAAAACCCUUUAUCUGCUUGUGUUAACCACUAUAAUGACAUAGGAUGCAACCGUAUGGUGUGGUACGACGAGAUCCUUGGCAAGACAAGAAGCCUAUGGUCAGAAGAUUUGUGUCACAAAGCCCAGAUGCUUGUGUCAUUGAUGGAGUACAUCUUGUUGUAUAUGAAAAAGAGAAGCCCAAAGUUGUUGCCAUGAUCCUUGAGAAAGUAGUCGUUCUAAAAUUUAUUAUUAUAAGUACAAUUGUACUUAUCUGCUGAUGUUUGUCAUUCUUUUCCUUUUGAAUUGAAUGGGUAAUUGUUUCAUGGUAUCAUUACAAUUGUAGUUCAGUUUUCACAUCCCUCCUUCUUGUUUGGUGAUGUAUUGUAAUAUGGUUAGUGUUAGUGUCUUUGCACAGUAAUGCAAUUGAGUACAGUAUUGCAUUUUGGUUAUUCUAUACAUAAGAAAAGGUUGUUUGGUGUGCUUUUGCUCAUUGAAAUUCGACAUUCUACCAAAAAAACUCGAAACUCUCCUAGAUAUAUGCAUUGGUUGGGUUGCACAGCUGCAGCUAUUCAUAUAAUACUAAUAAUUGGGAGUGAUGAUCACAUUUUUGUUCCACUUUGAUUUCAUGAGUUUGACCCCAAGUUACAUAUCAAAAAGAAAGUGUUAAGCAAGUGAGGAAUCUUAAAUUCUUAAACUAUUACUACUUCAAUGUAACUCAUCCAGG